CUUUGGCACAAAUGACUCCAGUGGGGCAGCAGUUUUGGGAAGGGGCACAGACACUCCUAUCCCAUAAGCUUCACAGGAUGAACAAGUUGCAGAGAGGACAGAUGCCCCCCAGUGGCUGAUGGCACAUCACCCUGCAGAGAGGGAAUUAUCUGGGAUUGAGGCAGAGAGAGGACACAGAUCAGAGGAAGCGGGAUUGGGAGAGCAACAGAGAGGGAAGAAUAAUGCCGGCAAGAGGUAAAAAAAAAAAAAAGGAGCGAGGAAGAAGAAGAAGAGGAAGAGGAAAAGAUAAGAAGAGAGGGGGGGGGAAGAGACUAAUGGGAUAUAAAAAUCUGACAGAGAAAAAAGUACAAUAAGACAAGAGGAAGGAUGUGUCUAAGGAAGAGAUAAGAAGACAAAGGGAGAGGAAAUAGUGGGAAUUCUUUAAAUAACCCAGAAGCGAAUAUGAUAUUUCGAGCUCAGGCCAUGUACAGACGCACUCAGUCUCCUCUGCAACAGAAGGAGAACAUGCCCAAAGCAAAGUCUUGAAAUAAAGCACUCCACUGAGGAUAGAGCUAAUGCACUGUACGUGCUGAUCUUUUCCACAGUGUUUCACAUCCAAAGCCAUUCAGACCUUCAGACGAGUCCCCCCACCCCAAACCCCCCCCCCCCGUGGGCCUGAUGCUGCCGGCGGACAGCAGAGGGCGUGCCUCAGCAUAGCAAGGCGGCCAAGCCACACUGACUACCUGCCUCUGUUCCAGCUGGGGGUCUGCUCCUGUCUCCAUGGCGACCUGGAGCCUGUUCUGUUCAGUGGGGCUUGACAUUCAGAGUGUAGCUGGAGAAGGAUGCAGAGGAGCCACACAAACAGAUGCACUCCUCUCAGCAGGAUGCUCUGCUCCUCCCUGGUACAGUCUGAAAGCCUGUCAGGCGCCGCAGACGAAGAUUAGAGCACCCUUGGUUUGUUUUUGGCUGUUUUCUCGUCUCGUCUCCUUGGCUACCCAUUUGAGAUAACCUGUCUCCUUGGCUACCGGACCGGUGGUUACUUAUUUCAUCCUCCUUUAAGUACGUGCUCCUGUCUAUGUGUGACUGGCUGCUUGUGUCUCUAUCCCGCAGCUGGACAUGAAUUAAUCAUGAGGACACAAGGCUUCUCUGUUCCUAUAACAAAGCUGUGACAUCACCACAUCACACACACUCACUCAAAAACACACGUACAGACUUGUAGAUGCACAGGCGUAAGUGUACACAAGCUGAAACCCACCCACACAUCAUGCACUAGGGCUUUUUAGGGUCUGGAUCCUGCAAAUAGUCUUUAUCAAUAAAUAAAGUGUUAAGGUUUUUUACUGUGGCAGCAGU